GCCGCAAUGUGAACAGUUUCAUUAACGAUCAAACCCUGACCCAGCCCACCGCCGUGACCACGCCUCGGCCCCGGAGGUAGAGAAGCGCAAACGCGUUCGCUGUGGAAGCAAGAGGGUCACACACGAGCAGCAUCUGUAAGCACUUGAAAUAAACCACUUUUAAGAAAUCAACCAUGUCUGAAGGUGAGGGAUUCGUUGUCCGUGUUCGUGGGCUGCCCUGGUCCUGCUCAGUUGAUGAAGUUCAGAGGUUUUUCUCAGACUGCAAAAUUGCAAAUGACACUACUGCCAUCCACUUCACCUAUACCAGAGAGGGGAGGCCAAGUGGAGAGGCUUUCGUUGAACUGGAGACGGAGGAAGACCUGAAAAUUGCAGUUAAAAAAGAUAGAGAAACCAUGGGGCAUAGAUAUGUGGAAGUGUUUAGAUCGAACAAUGUUGAAAUGGAUUGGGUUAUGAAACACACUGGUCCCAACAGCCCUGAGUCUGAGGGUGAUGGCCUGGUCCGACUCAGAGGCCUUCCGUUUGGCUGCAGCAAAGAAGAAAUAGUCCAGUUUUUCUCAGGGUUGGAAAUCGUGCCAAAUGGGAUUACAUUGCCGGUGGACUUCCAGGGGAGGAGUACGGGGGAGGCCUUCGUGCAGUUUGCUUCACAGGAUAUAGCUGAAAAGGCUCUAAAGAAACACAAGGAAAGAAUAGGGCACAGGUAUAUUGAAAUUUUCAAGAGCAGCCGAUCAGAAGUGCGCACCCAUUACGAGCCCCCGCGGAAACCCAUGGGAAUGCAGCGCCCAGGGCCCUAUGACAGACCCGGCGGUGGAAGGGGCUACAACAACAUGGGUCGUGGUGGAUCCUUCGACCGAAUGAGGAGAGGAGGAUAUGGUGGCGGCUAUGGUAGUUAUGAUGACUACAAUGGAUACAGUGAUGGCUAUGGUUUUGGCUCCGACCAGCGGUUUGGACGAGGUACUGAAGGAGUGUCUGAUGGUCGUUAUGGGGAUGGAACUUCCUCUUUCCAGAGCACCACAGGCCACUGUGUACACAUGAGGGGACUGCCCUAUCGUGCUACAGAAACAGACAUAUAUAAUUUCUUCUCACCGUUGAACCCGGUAAGAGUUCACAUAGAGAUCGGCCCCGAUGGCAGGGUAACAGGAGAGGCCGAUGUGGAGUUUGCUACCCAUGAGGAUGCUGUGGCUGCCAUGUCUAAAGACAAAGCAAAUAUGCAACACAGAUAUGUUGAGCUUUUCCUGAAUUCCACUGCUGGAGGAAAUAAUGGCGCCUAUGGUAACCAGAUCAUGGGAACAAUGGCAAACCAGUCCACUUACGGCCCCAGUAAUCAGCAGUUGAGUGGCGGAUACACGGGCGGCUACAGCAACCAGACCAGCAUGGGCGGCUACGGUGAGUACAGCCUGGAUGGUAAACAAAUCUAUGAUGUAACGUGCCAUAAAAAUGAAUCGGCCGUCGAAAGCUAUUGGUCGGCAACAGAGAUGCCAACUGCUACGAUCUGACCAUAGCAGCUACUAUAUUGGAGGUUCUGCUACGGCGUUAUGCCAAAGAGGUAGUCAAAGUGGAAUCAACAGCAGCUACUAUGGAAGUGGAAGCCGAGGCUCGGUGGGUGUGAAUGGAAUGGCUGGAAUGUCAAGCAGCAUGAACAUGAGUGGAGGAUGGGGAAUGUGAGCAGCUUCAAUGGAAGAAACAAAUGAGAAUUCUGUACAACAAAAAUCAAUAAAAUACAUGGACUCCAGCUCUGCUGUAACAGAUUUAAGAUGGUUUGCUUACUGUACUAGCAAUCAGGGUUGCCAUUUCAAAUAUUCUUUCCAAGGAAGGAUGAAAGAUGUCUCGGCAGCCUAACCCUUCGAUGUUUAAAUAUGUUAAUUGCUGGUCUUCACUUUUGUUCUGUGUAAGUCUUUUUAAGUUUCCGUAGACUCUUUUUUCAGCAGUAAGUAACCAAGGGCUAAAGGCCUUCAAUUUAGUAUUACAGGGUCUUGAGAGUUACCAUUUUCUGAGAUUUGUUUCCUUAAGUUUUUUGAUUGCAUGAAGAGACAUGCUUUUGUAAAUAUAUGGUUAAGAUGUAUAUGGACACUGAUGUUCAGUUGAAAGCUGCAAGGAUUUCCAGCCAUUAUUUUCUUAAGGUGUAGGACCUUAAAUCGGAGUGGGUUUUUUAUAUUCUGUGGAAGAGCAUGUUUGAGUUGCUUUUUUAAAAUUCCGUGGAAACUUGCCUAAAGACGCAAUACAGAGCAAACAUUUUAAGCCUUUUGUCAUGGAAGUAAAAAUUUGGUAUUUUUUUUUUUUUGUUUUUGUUUUGUUUAAUUCUAUGUAUUGCGCAAAGUUAAUAAACUUGAGUAACUGUG